GGACUACUGGGGUUUCUAAUCCCGUUCGCUCCCCUGGCUUUCGCGCCUCAGCGUCAGAAGAGGUCCAGUACGUCGCUUUCGCCACCGGCGUUCCUUCCGAUAUCAACGCAUUUCACCGCUCCACCGGAAGUUCCACAUACCCCUACCUCCCUCGAGACUGCCAGUAUCCAAGGCACUUUUCCGGUUAAGCCGAAAGAUUUCACCCCGGACUUGGCAACCCGCCUACGCGCCCUUUAAGCCCAGUGAUUCCGAACAACGUUCGCACGGUUCGUCUUACCGCGGCUGCUGGCAC
rnacentral:rRNA from 1 species